rnacentral:rRNA from 1 species
UACAGAGGUCCCAAGCGUUAUUCGGAUUCACUGGGCGUAAAGGGUGCGCAGGUGGCGAGGUAAGUUUGAUGUGAAAUCUCCGGGCUUAACCCGGAAAUGGCAUUGAAUACUAUCCCGCUUGAGGGUUGGAGGGGAGACUGGAAUUCUCGGUGUAGCAGUGAAAUGCGUAGAUAUCGAGAGGAACACCAGUGGCGAAGGCGAGUCUCUGGACAACUCCUGACACUGAGGCACGAAAGCUAGGGGAGCAAACAGG